AAGACGACGACGUUGAUAGGUCGGGUGUGUAAGCGCAGCGAUGCGUUGAGCUAACCGAUACUAAUGAACCGUGAGGCUUAACCUUACAACGCCGAAGGUGUUU
rnacentral:rRNA from 3 species